GAACCCAUCUGAUUGUGUGGACAUGGUUUGUGAUGCCAAAAGGAAGUCUCUCCUUAGAGAUAUGGAUGGUUCGUUUCUGGGGAGUUCUGGGUCAGUCAUCCCACAGGCAGAGUAUGAGUGGGAUGGAAACAGCCGACUGGGAAUUGGAGACUACAGGAUUCCUAAGUCUAUGCUCACAUUCUUGAACGGAAGUAGAAUUCCUAUUGCCGAGAAAGCACCUCAUAAAGGAAUUAUCAGAGACUCAACCUGCAAAUACAUCUCAGCGUGGCAGAGCUACCGGUGUUCUGGAAUGGAAUAUGCAAUGUUGGUUAUAGAAAGCCUGGAUUCUGACACAGAAACAUGAAGACUUUCCCCAGUGGACAUCAUGAGCAAUGGUUAUGUUGAUCUCAUUAACGGCCCACAGGACCAUGGCUGGUGUGCUGGGUAUACGUGCCAAAGAAGACUCUCCCUGUUCCAUAGCAUCGUGGCUCUGAACAAAAUGUAUGAGGUUUACUUCACUGGGACCAGUCCUCAGAAUCUUCGGCUGAUGUUGCUGAAUGUUGAACAUAAUAAGGUAAGCCUUAAAGGUUAUCAUAGUUUCAUACUCUG
rnacentral:lncRNA from 1 species